ensembl:lncRNA
CCAGGUGUGUUCCUGUGUUAAUCUCCUCAUAUGCAUCUGGCUGUUAAGAAAACAAAAGAAGGGAAUGGCAGUGACCCCGCUGUCCUGACUAAUUAUUCAUGAGGGUGGACCCUAAACUCUCCGUCAUCACGCGGACGUUUGAGUGACGGCGCCACAUUUAUUCAUCGUAUUUCACUGAGACACACUGCUGAGGCCAUUAUAAACACGAGGGAAGAAAAAGAAGUAGAGUAGAGAGGUGCAGAAAGACAGACUGUUACUCCUUUUUUUUUUUAUAUAUGCAGAUCUCUGUAUUUUUUAAUUAUUCUGAACUGGUGUCUAAAUACCCAGAGUGAUUUUAUUGAAUUUCAUUACCCCUUUCGAAGCAUUUUGUAUGGAAAUGUAAUGGCAAUUAAUUGGACAGUAGUUUAUUCUUACUGGGAUUCCCAGGAAAUAAUUGGGAGGCGUUACAGGUAAAGACUCUGCCUUAGUAAGAAAAAAAAAGGACUAUUUAUGUAGCUGAUUUGCACAACAGGAGGAAACGCCCGAGAGUUUAAAAAAAAAAAAAACGAUGUAGAUGUUGGCCCUUUGGACAAAAGUAACGUAGUUAUUCGCCAAAGGAAUAACAGUCAGUCCAGGAUGCAGACAUUUCUUCCACCAAUUUGACUGAUUUGUGUUACACUAUAACGCCAAAGGCUUGUGGGCACCAUGACACUCAUAUCUGCUGUUUGAACAUCCCACUCCAGAUUUACUUCCUGCUUUGCUGUUAUAAUAUCCUUCACUCUUCUGCGAAGGCUUUCCACUAGAUUUUGGAAUGUGGCUGUGGGGAUUUGCUCAUUCAACCACAAGAGCGUUAGUGAGGUCACGCACUGAGGAAGUCUGGGGUGAAGUUGAAGUUCCAGUUUAUCCCAAAAGUGUUGAGUGGGUUUGAGGUGCGGGAUCUGUACAGGAGCUCUUUCACUCCAAACAUGGCAAACCAUGUCUUCAUGGAGAUCGCUUUGUGCACAAAGGCACUGUCAUGCUGGAACAGGUUUCGGCUUCACCGUUCCAGUAAUGGGAAAUUGUAGUCCUACAGCAUACAAAGACAUUCUUUACAACUGUGUGGUUCCCAAAAACAGUUUGGGGAUAAUGGCUAACCCAAUUUCAGAGCAAAUAGUUUUUAUGCAUUUAAUUCUUUAAAAUCAAAAGGAAAACAGCCUUCUUUAUAAUUAGGAGCAUAUAUUCCUUCACGUGUAGGUAUUUAAAUAAGUCGUGUUAAAUAAUGGUAGCCAAGCUAGCUAUCUAAGCUCAACAAUAUCAAAGUCAACUAUUUUUAAUAAUACGCAGGUAUGUCGUGAUCACGUCCAACAUGUGAUCAAUCGGGCAGCUGCACACGUCGAAAUCUGCAACACACGUUGGGUUGAGACUGCACCGUAAGAGUUGCCUCUCAGCACUUCCUGUGAUGUCUCAUGAUGGAUAGCUUGAGAGGAAGUUGUUUAACACUCAUUUCCACCACAUUGUCUUAACCCCGUUGUUAGGCCAAAACGCACCUCAGGGCAAACAUUGCAGUGAGGAUCUCUUCAUGACCGUUUGAACCGAUCCAUCUGGCGGUGUCAGAAACGGUAAUAAAUAAAAAGUCUGCCCUAACAUCAACAGCAUGUCUCAGAGGAGUUCAUCACAAUGAGCCUGUAAUUACAAGUCUACCGAGGUUCGAUGAGAAAUGUCUAGGGUGAAAUUCUACGGUGGAUCCUGACGAUUUCAACCUUCAACUCUACUUUUCCAUCAAUUCUGCAAACUCUCUCUGCAAGGACUUGGCAGUAUUUCCUGAAACGUUUGAUUCCUCUUACACCACAGCAAUUACAUAAAAAAAAAAUUCUUACAGAACACAUCUUAUUCAUUGUUAGCUAGAUUCAAGUUAAUUCCUGUUAUCACUUAUACACAUUAUAGCAGCUAUAAACAGCCAUUUCCGUCUUUAUUUUUUUCUUUCUUGAAGUUAACAAGACAGAAAAGUCUGAGAAACUGAAAGGUGGAAAACCCUCUACCUGCUACAUAAAUCCUACAUAUACAUCUCCUUAAACUAAACCUUUUCUGUGCUUCUUAAAGGCUGUGUGUGUGUGUGUGUGUGUGUGUCGAAAAAGCACUUAUGCUGUAAGACCAGAGGCUGGCCAAUCGGAGCUCCACGAUGCUAUCCAAAACAACAAGGAUGAUGUUUUACCCACCGUGCCUUCACUUCUAGGUCACUGGAGGCCCGUGGAUGAUGAUGAUCAUCAGAAUGGCACGCUGCUUUUCUGUUAGCUCGAGUAAGAAGCGUGAUGUGUGCACUGAGUGCUGUUUGCUUGUCCACAAGCACUAGUAUGUGCCUCUAUAUUUGUUUGUGUGAAGCUGGCCUAAUAAACCAACAGGACAAUGAAUUUCGCUGCAGGGCCACUCUGAGCUGAGCAAGAGUGAGGAGGGGGGGUGCAGCAGUGAGGCCUGGUAAAAGGUCUGGCCACAUCUCCCUAAGGUUUCUAUUACUAAGCAGACACAGUGUUGAGGACAUGGCAUUUACAUGGCACACAAGCUGGCAAGCCAGUCCCUCCAUUACACGUUACACAUUACACACUGUGGAGUUCGUGCUGUUACGCUGGAGUACUGAAUCUCCAGCAUCAGUUCUAUGCUAGAGUUUUACAGUCAACGCAUGUAUCAUGUGGUUGGGGGUCUAUAUUUCUGAAGAGUCAAGAUCUGACAGGAAUGCUGCUUGACUGUUUGUCGUGUUGCGUCAUGAACACUUUAAAAAACUAAUUUUUUAUUUUUUUUUACAGUUUUGAGAAAAUCUCAAUCUUAUGAUGAAAACGUGUAGGACCGCCCUCGUCAGCAUGUCACAGUGUAGCUCUCUCACAGAUAAUACGUUACUGUAUUUGUUUCAGUAAAUGUGUCCGAUUCUAUGCCUGCACAAACCGCUAUACUUCUCAUACAGUGGUUCGUCUCGGUGGCUGUGUUCGCCAGAUUUGAGAUGGAUUGAAUUACAGCUCUAAAUGUGAGACGGAAGAUCGUGGCGUAGUUGGUGCCGGGUGAUUUUGUCGCUCGUCAUCUGAAAGUUCAAUAGUCCAGUAUUAUCUGAGAAGAACAAGCAUCAGCCCAACUAAUAGAUGAAGAACUUAAAAAGGAGGUACGUCUGUCGUUUCCUGAAGCUUGAAGUUGAAUCGAAGUUGAAUGUUUAAUAAUAUUUUGUAAUCAUGUUCUCACUUCGACAGUGUUACGCUUUUUCUUGUUCUCAUCUUUUGUGAUAGUUCUGUUCAAUCUCACACAGCAGUCAUGUAUCGAUGAGAAUUUUUCAUCAGUUUUAGAGAAACCGUAAUAUAUCGUGAGAUAUAUGUCAUUUAAUAAUAUUUGGGAUAUAAUAAUUAAUUAACAUAGGGAUAUAAUAUUUGGGCUAAUGUCCGAUCUAAAUGUAAUCUCUGCAGCAGAGUCUUUGUUAAGCAUCAACACAUUUACAUAUAAAAAAAUUCACAGACAUACUCUGCUCUCAUGGAUAUCAAACAAUUGCAAACAAAACAGUUUUAUCAAAAAAAAUUAAAUAUGUUUGUUAAAUAUAGGUGUGCAACAAUUAUUAGCACCCUUAUGAAUUCCUAUGAGAAAAAUAUAUUUGAAGUAUAUUCCCAUUGAUAUUUUAAAAACCUUUAAGGACACCUGGGUGACUAGGAACAGGAAAU